AGUGAACGCUGGCGGUAGGCCUAACACAUGCAAGUCGAACGGCAGCACAGUAAGAGCUUGCUCUUACGGGUGGCGAGUGGCGGACGGGUGAGGAAUACAUCGGAAUCUACUUUUUCGUGGGGGAUAACGUAGGGAAACUUACGCUAAUACCGCAUACGACCUACGGGUGAAAGCAGGGGAUCUUCGGACCUUGCGCGAUUGAAUGAGCCGAUGUCGGAUUAGCUAGUUGGUGGGGUAAAGGCCCACCAAGGCGACGAUCCGUAGCUGGUCUGAGAGGAUGAUCAGCCACACUGGAACUGAGACACGGUCCAGACUCCUACGGGAGGCAGCAGUAGGGAAUAUCGGACAAUGGGCGCAAGCCUGAUCCAGCCAUACCGCGUGGGUGAAGAAGGCCUUCGGGUUGUAAAGCCCUUUUGUUGGGAAAGAAAAGCAGCAGGUUAAUACCCCGCUGUUCUGACGGUACCCAAAGAAUAAGCACCGGCUAACUUCGUG
rnacentral:rRNA from 1 species